AGUCAGACUUCCUCUGCCAGUCCAGUCCUUUCAGCCUCACAUCUUCAACAAGAGAGAAUGAAUAAGAAGGAUAAGUGGUCGGAAAAUGCAGAUAAAUCCAAACCAUUAAGCACCCUUCAGCUUUUACUGGCAGAGCACUGUCUUCCCCGGGCCAUGUUGUGGAUCACUUUAAAAUGUCGGUUGAUCGCCAGUUACAAGGAACGCUCCGUUUCUGGCCCUCAGGAUUCUCGCUCUACUCUACAUUGGCGAGCUGAAGGCCCUCUCCUGAGUCGGCGUUGUGUUUUUCCAUCCUGUAAAAACACGGCGCUGGAACGUGGCCGGCUCCGUGGAAGAGGACCAACAUCCCCCCCGCGCACGGAAAAGGCUCAUUGCAAUGUAACACAAAACACAACAGCGUUUGUCUUUGUUUCAGGUGAUUAUACGCUAAUGAAAAAAUAAUUAUAACAUUAUACUUGACUCCUGCCAACAGAUCUCCCAGAAUCCCACACACUGGAUCCUGAAAGACAUUGUGUACAUAAAUUCUGAGCCUUAAUAAUAAAAAAAAAAACACCAC